CCUACGGGGGGCUGCAGUAAGGAAUAUUGCACAAUGGGGGAAACCCAGAUGCAGCAACGCCGCGUGAGCGAAGAAGGCCUUCGGGUCGUAAAGCUCUUUUCUGGGGGAUGAGGAAGGACGGUACCCCAGGAAUAAGUCUCGGCUAACUACGUGCCAGCAGCCGCGGUAAAACGUAGGAGGCGAGCGUUAUCCGGAUUCACUGGGCGUAAAGGGCAAGUAGGCGGUUGUCUAAGUUGGACGUGACAACUCCCGGCUCAACUGGGAGGGGUCGUUCAAUACUGGAUGACUGGAGGGCAGGAGAGGAAAGUGGAAUUCCUGGUGUAGCGGUGGAAUGCUCAGAUACCAGGAGGAACACCAGUGGCGAAGGCGACUUUCUGGCCUGCACCUGACGCUGAGAGGCGAAAGCUAGGGGAGCGAACGGGCUUAGAUACCCGUGUAGUC
rnacentral:rRNA from 1 species